rnacentral:rRNA from 1 species
AUUGAACGCUGGCGGCAUGCCUUACACAUGCAAGUCGAACGGCAGCACGGGAGCAAUCCUGGUGGCGAGUGGCGAACGGGUGAGUAAAGUAUCGGAACGUGCCCAGUCGUGGGGGAUAACGUAGCGAAAGUUACGCUAAUACCGCGUACGAUCUAUGGAUGAAAGCGGGGGAUCGCAAGACCUCGCGCGAUUGGAGCGGCCGAUAUCAGAUUAGGUAGUUGGUGGGGUAAAGGCUCACCAAGCCGACGAUCUGUAGCCGGUCUGAGAGGACGACCAGCCACACUGGGACUGAGACACGGCCCAGACUCCUACGGGAGGCAGCAGUGGGGAAUUUUGGACAAUGGGCGCAAGCCUGAUCCAGCCAUGCCGCGUGCAGGAUGAAGGCCUUCGGGUUGUAAACUGCUUUUGUACGGAACGAAAAGGUUUGACUUAAUACGUUGGACUCAUGACGGUACCGUAAGAAUAAGCACCGGCUAACUACGUGCCAGCAGCCGCGGUAA